UGGGGAAUUUUGGACAAUGGGCGCAAGCCUGAUCCAGCAAUGCCGCGUGCAGGAUGAAGGCCUUCGGGUUGUAAACUGCUUUUGUACGGAGCGAAAAGGUCUGCCCUAAUACGGUGGGCUCAUGACGGUACCGUAAGAAUAAGCACCGGCUAACUACGUGCCAGCAGCCGCGGUAAUACGUAGGGUGCGAGCGUUAAUCGGAAUUACUGGGCGUAAAGCGCACGCAGGCGGUUUGUUAAGUCAGAUGUGAAAUCCCCGCGCUUAACGUGGGAACUGCAUUUGAAACUGGCAAGCUAGAGUCUUGUAGAGGGGGGUAGAAUUCCAGGUGUAGCGGUGAAAUGCGUAGAUAUGCGGAGGAACACCGAUGGCGAAGGCAAUCCCCUGGGCCUGCACUGACGCUCAUGCACGAAAGCGUGGGGAGCAAACA
rnacentral:rRNA from 1 species